GUGGGGAAUUUUGGACAAUGGGCGCAAGCCUGAUCCAGCAAUGCCGCGUGCAGGAAGAAGGCCUUCGGGUUGUAAACUGCUUUUGUACGGAACGAAAAGGCUCUGGUUAAUACCUGGGGCUCAUGACGGUACCGUAAGAAUAAGCACCGGCUAACUACGUGCCAGCAGCCGCGGUAAUACGUAGGGUGCAAGCGUUAAUCGGAAUUACUGGGCGUAAAGCGUGCGCAGGCGGUUUUGUAAGACAGACGUGAAAUCCCCGGGCUCAACCUGGGAAUGGUGUUUGGGACUGCAAAGCUGGAGUGCGGCAGAGGGGGAUGGAAUUCCGCGUGUAGCAGUGAAAUGCGUAGAUAUGCGGAGGAACACCGAUGGCGAAGGCAAUCCCCUGGGCCUGCACUGACGCUCAUGCACGAAAGCGUGGGGAGCAAACAGGAUUAGAUACCCGUGUAGUCC
rnacentral:rRNA from 1 species